rfam:Lupinus angustifolius cultivar Tanjil contig_1836, whole genome shotgun sequence.
AGGUGUGAUUAUACCGGCACUAAUGCACUAGAUCCCAUCAAAACACUGUAGUUAAGCAUUCUUGUGCGAGAGUAGUACUAGGAUGGGUGACCUCAUCGGAAGUCCUCGUGUUGCACCUC